CGACUCUCUCUUAAACCCUCACAAAAGCCUUAAACCCUGAAAACCAAACAAAAACUUUUCUUCUAGUUCUCUGUCAUUCGUUCUGAUUCCAAAACCUGAUAGAUUGAUUAAGAUGAUGACGAUGACUGGCACGCAAGCGUGCAGGCACAUGGCGAAGUCGGCGACGCACGUAGCAAGUGCGCGCCUCUUCUCCACGGCAGCCAGAGCUGCCACCACUAAUGCGCCCGCGGCCAAACAAUUGUCCUCCAUAAUCAUUCCUCUAAAGGAUGCGGCCGCGGGCGCAUGGUGGAACAACGGCAGCAUCAUUUACCCCUUUCAGAGGGUACGCAGUGGUAGCACUCUGGCUCUCGGCCGUCAGGAGAAGCAGCAGGAGGAGGCUGAUCAUAGCAACUCCGCCGUUUCGGUUGCCGGACACGGUGGUGGUAAUAAGGACAAUGAGGAGAAGGCCAUCACCAGCUACUGGGGGGUGGGACCGAACAAGAUUACCAAGGAAGACGGUACAGAAUGGAAAUGGAAUUGCUUCAGACCAUGGGAGACGUACAAGGCCGACACCUCGAUAGAUCUCCAGAAGCAUCAUGUGCCUACAACUUUGCUGGACAAAAUGGCCUACUGGACUGUCAAGUCUCUCCGAUGGCCUACGGACCUAUUCUUCCAGAGGCGAUAUGGGUGCAGGGCAAUGAUGCUGGAGACAGUGGCAGCAGUGCCUGGAAUGGUAGGAGGGAUGCUGCUGCACUGCAAAUCGCUUAGGCGAUUCGAGCACAGUGGCGGCUGGAUCAAAGCACUUCUAGAAGAAGCCGAGAACGAGCGUAUGCACCUCAUGACCUUCAUGGAAGUCGCCAAGCCCCGGUGGUACGAGCGUGCACUUGUAUUUGCUGUUCAAGGUGUUUUCUUCAAUGCGUACUUCUUGGGAUAUAUGAUUUCACCCAAGUUUGCUCAUAGAAUGGUUGGAUAUCUUGAGGAGGAAGCAAUUCACUCAUAUACCGAGUUCCUCAAGGAAUUAGACAAAGGUAACAUUGAGAAUGUUCCAGCUCCAGCUAUUGCUAUUGAUUAUUGGCAGCUACCUUCCAAUUCCACCUUGAGAGAUGUUGUUACAGUUGUUAGGGCAGACGAGGCUCACCACCGAGAUGUCAAUCACUUCGCUUCGGACAUACAUUAUAAUGGACGUGAACUGAAGGAAUCUCCAGCUCCAAUUGGUUACCAUUGAAAUCCAUGAACUCACCUUGUAUUAAGACGAGCAAGAAGUCUGAUAGUAAAUGACAUGGUUUUUGUGUUUUACCCGAGGUGAUGAUAUAUUGACAUACAUUUCUCACAUCAUUGAAGCCACACUCACACUAACAGUGUAGCAGCUUCUCAAAGUUCAGACGCUUUAUUUUGGCCUCUCCUCGGACCACAGCUCCAAAUUAACAGUACCAGUUCCCCAGUGGAUUAGGCACUUGAAAACCUGACUGACAUCAAACCGAUUCAAUAACCCCAAGCCAAGGCAUUUAUCAAUGAGCAUCCAUUCACCUGUUGCAACAAGAAAAAGGAAAGGCAAUUUUCAUCAAAGAUGACCAUUGUAGGAGAAAAAUCCAAGCAAACCCAAACUAUUAUUGCUUGCACACUGAACUCAACUGCCAAGUGUGCAACUCAUUUCCUUGUAGCCCAAAAUACAAUUAAUAAAAUAACCAUUGUGGGUGGACAACUCAAAUUCCAACCAUUUUUGGUA